CUCUGCUGGGAUAUUGAUGUUUUUCCCAGGAUGUCCCUCUAAUGUGGGGGGAAAAAAGAACUGUAAAGAUCUAGUCUGAAGCCCAUGAGCCUGCACGGCCCAGUGGAAGGGAAGAAGGAGCCUGUGACAAACGUUUAUUACGGAGUAUGAAAAUCAGGAAGCUUUUUGUUCACUUCAUACAUCUCCUCCAACAAAGCCAGGCAUCAGCACCCCGGCACAGACUCCGGAGUGAUUAUUGUUACACAUGAUCUAUGGAGCAGAUAAAUUACAGCUUGAUUUUUAUAAGACAGGAGAAAACCCCCGCGGAACCAGCCAGCACAUGUUUCGUGGCAAGAUCAGGGCCUCAGACACCACAAACUCUUCCUUUUUGGGCUCAAGAUCCUGAGAAGCUGCGGAAAAUUUGGGCAGAAGAUCCUCUCAGCGUUGCACGGGACAGCAGACGUGACCUGCUCGGGGAUGUGGAGACACCUGGCACGGGGUCCUCAGUCUGGUCGGAUGGGAUGGAACAGGUGACCAUCAUGCUCUUGUAUUUUUUAACUUUGGGAAAAAAGGAAAUUUUUCUUUGGGAGUUAUGGGAGCUCUUG